rnacentral:misc_RNA from 1 species
GAUGAAGAACGCAGCGAAAUGCGAUAAGUAGUGUGAAUUGCAGAAUUCCGUGAAUCAUCUAAUCUUUGAACGCACAUUGCGCCUUCUGGUAUUCCGGAAGGCAUGCCUGUUCGCGAGUCAUUAACAACCGUUUCGAUCCCUUUCUUUCAGAAAUUACAAAGAGGAAAAGGGUUUGGUUAUGGUGGAGGAGGGAAAGGGAGCGUUUAGCCUGUAAAAAAAGAGGCUGUGUUCCGCCUCCCCCCCAAAAUUGUACAGGCGGUCGUGUGCGCCCACGCAUCGAGGUGUUGUAAAAGCUGCCACGGCACUUUUCACCUGUGCAGUGCGAGAUUGGCCAGCCGGUUUAAAAACCCCUCCAAACAAUCAAAGGUUGACCUCGGAUCAGGUAGGGAUACCCGCUGAACUUAAGCAUAUCAAUAAGCGGAGGA